UGGACGACUACAUGAUCGGCAAGUAAAUCGGCUAAGGCGCUUACGCCACUGUUCACAUCGGCAUGUACAGAUAGUACAACAAGAAGGUGGCCCUUAAGAUCUAUCAAAAAGAUAAAAUGAAGGACGUGUAGCGCAAGAAGUCCGUCAGGCGCGAAAUCAAACUUAUGAGGCGCCU
rnacentral:ribozyme from 1 species